rnacentral:lncRNA from 1 species
AGAAUCCUUCAUGACCCAUUCUGAAGAAAGCUUAUGGGAUAACCCUUUGACCAUUCAGGUGGUUUUGCCUGGAAGAUAAUUAGAUAAUUUAAAGGGGACCUACACAGAGAAUGAUCAGUACCUAACGUGUAUGCAUAUGGUUUUCAGUAGUUGAUACUUAGUAAUUCUUUGUUAAAUAAAGAGAUGAUCAAAUGCAGCUUGAUUCAAUCUUUCUGUCCAGAUAGGAGGUAAAAAUGACAUCUGGAUCCCAUUCUCUAGGCCUUGAAGCAGCUCUUCCGUUCAUGUCAAGGUUGUAAUUUUCAUUUUGAUGUUGAGGAAGCUACUUUUAGAAUCAAAACAGAAGAGAGGAGAGCUUAUAACUUUUGAGGGGUGCCUGCUUUCCCCUAUAGCUGGCUAUGGUGUUUUCUAGGAGAAUGUGCUGUCCCUACAUUUUCACAGUCUUCAGCAGUAAAGGUUUUACAUCAAGAAAGUAACAUUUGCCAAGGAGAUUCACUGGUUGUAGAUGUUUUGUGGAGGAUGAGGUCUCUGUGAUACGUUGGCUUGUCUUUACCUGUUCGCUUUGUGAAGUAUGGAAGGUGAUUUGUAACCACUUGGGCUUUUCUGUGCUGAAGAAAAGAAGGAAGGAGAGAGGAAGACAGGGAGGGAGAGAAGGAGGAAAUGAAUUUCAAUGCAUUAAUCCCAGUUUCCAGCUACUUUAAGAACUCAACAAAUUGAGAAAGCACUUUUUCUUUUCUUUUCUUCCCAGGGACUUGAAAAGGGAAACAAGGAGCAAUUAUAAGGUAUUCCUAUCUCAUGAGCCUGUUGGAUUCUCAGGGAAAUGAAUUUACAGAAGGCUGUAGGCCAUCCCUGCAGAAGAGGUGAAAGGUCCUGACUCCUGAGAAGAACCCCACCUCCCUCUCCUGCAUUAGAGGCAGAGCUCCUGUCUAGCGUCCUGGUCUUUCCUGGACCGUUCGAGGACAGCCAGCAUGGUUUCCUGGACUGGAGAAGUCUGACUAGCAAUUUUUCCCAGGCCUACCCACCAGAGUGGACCUACUCUGUGCCUGUAUCCUGCGUCUGCUGCUGUACACACAUUCAUUCACAGAGUUCUCAUACAACUUGCAUGGCUUUGACUGGGGAAUCCAGACAUUGAGGUUUCUCUGAGGACAACUUUAAGUCCCUGCUGUCAUCAUCUUCAUCGCUGAUUUGAGAGAGGGUAAGUACCGCUUCUUUCUGAACUUAUAUUUUCCAAGGCUUGCAUUGGCAUCACUCAAGCUCUUAAUAGUUGUUUCAAAGGAUUUAAAAAUUACCAAAAUAAUUCAGACAUGUUCUAGUUUCUACUUAUGUGUAUAUAUAUCCAAGAGGACUUAAAGGAAAGUGACCACAUCAUAUGGUAGAGUGAAUACAAAAGGCGCUAUAACUAGACUUUGCUUCAAGUCCUAACUUUCUACUUAUAACUGGCUGUGUGACCUUGAGAAAGUUUCUUAACUCCUUCAAUUUCUUCAUCUACAAAAUGAGAAAUUUGGGCUGCAUUCUUCUGAAAUAUUCCCUAAAUUCUUUAAUAAUGUACUCAUAUGGAGAUUGAAAAGCACUGAUUUAAAGCAGUGACUUCCAAAGUCUGCUGGGAAAUCCUUCUGCCUCCAGCACUGGAGAAUGUACGAAAAAUGUACCUCCCCUAGCUAUUUCCCAGAUCUACCAAGUGAGACCCUUGAGGCUGAAGAGCAGAAGUCUGCCUCUAACAAACUCCUCCGAUGAAUUGGUUGCACAGUAAUGGUUGACAGCCAUUGCCCUCACCACUGAGAGUUUUGUUCUGGUCACAUGUAUGUUCAAUUCUGUUAGAUGUGAUAAUCCAGGUGGAAAUUGCCUGGAACAAUCGUGAACUUGUAGUAGAAUUAACAAGGUUGGCAUCUGGUGGCUGUUUUACCCUUUGUUUCUUGGCUCCGAACCUUUCAUCCUCCACUCACCAAUUCAUUGGCCAGGUGUCUUAUGUAGGCUCCUUGGCUCUCCUCCCCUUGGCUGCAACUCAGUGGGGGUAAAAUCCUU